rnacentral:rRNA from 1 species
GGCGCACGGGUGAGUAACACGUAGGUAACCUACCCUCGAGUGGUGGAUAACCCUCCGAAAGGAGAGCUAAUACAGCAUAAGACCACGGCAUUCCGAUGCUGCGGAAAAAGCGGGCCUCUCUAUAGAAGCUCGUGCUCGAGGAUGGGCCUGCGGCCCAUCAUGCUAGUUGGCGAGGUAAUGGCUCACCAAGGCUAAGACGGGUAGCUGGUCUGAGAGGAUGAACAGCCACACUGGAACUGAGACACGGUCCAGACUCCUACGGGAGGCAGCAGUGGGGAAUCUUGCGCAAUGGGCGAAAGCCUGACGCAGCGACGCCGCGUGAGCGAUGAAGGCCUUCGGGUUGUAAAGCUCUGUGGGGAGGGAAGAAUAAGCCUAGGCUAAUACCACUAGGUGAUGACGGUACCUCCUUAGCAAGCACCGGCUAACUCUGUGCCAGCAGCCGCGGUAAGACAGAGGGUGCAAACGUUGUUCGGAAUUACUGGGCGUAAAGCGCGUGUAGGCGGCUAUGCAAGUCGGGCGUGAAAUCCCACGGCUCAACCGUGGAAGUGCACUCGAAACUGCGUAGCUAGAGUCCCGGAGAGGAAGGUGGAAUACUUGGUGUAGAGGUGAAAUUCGUAGAUAUCAAGUGGAACACCGGUGGCGAAGGCGGCCUUCUGGACGGUGACUGACGCUGAGACGCGAAAGCGUGGGGAGCAAACGGGAUUAGAUACCCCGGUAGUCC